UUCAGCCAUGUUUACACGACGCCGUCAGUACUACUGCUGGCUAGCUCGCUAGUUUUAUAAGAUUAACUGCAACAAGCAUAAAAGUAUGAUGGUUACUAAUAAAAUAUCCACAUUUCCACUCCGAAUAUAACUGCUUUCCACAUCGAAGACGUCCAACAACAAAUCAACGAACAUAUUCAGAGAUAUAUAAUUUGGUGCUGCAUCGGACAAAAUUCCAUGCCUCAGUUCUUCAGUUUGAAAUGCAAGACAAAAGCCAGAGAUCCGUCAGGAAGACAGUGAAGUGGAUUGUGCUGAGGUGUUGAGGCAUGUGUCUUUGAAUAGGGAUCUGAUCAUGGCCUUGAUCAAACUUCAAGUGGAUUUAUUUUUUUAUUUAUUUAUUUUUUUUUAAAUUGUGUGACGACCCCCUGCUGUACCUUCAUGGACCCCUGGUUGAAAACCCAAUGAAAGAUCUCAUCAAAGCACAUCAUGUGGUCACAUUAAAGCUGGGCGCAUCGCCGUACGCGAGUGAAAAGCCCUGAAAUGAUCUACCCGUCUGCUGUUCUCAUUCUCUACAACACAUGAGGAGAAAUUUAUGAAGCCUUGGUCUGUCGAGCUCUAAAAAGGACAAGAAAUGUAUGGCUCAGAAGACAUGAAAUAUUGCACUUAGAAGCAUCAGCUAAAUCCAGCCUGCCAUAUUAACUGGCCGAGAGGACAAGUAAAGCACUUAAUCUGCCAUCCUGAAUCGCAUGCACACGAAUGGAUGGGUACCAGACUGGAGCACAAGAGGGCGGAACGGGGCGUUACUCCAUCCGGCAGCGGUCGAUACUCACGCCAGGAGGACUGAAGGGUGACGCCACAGACCGGCCGGCAUUAUGUGUGGAUGUUUUCAGCUGACCGACACAAACCACUGCAGAUCUUUGAGCUGUAGGUGUACAGAUCUUAUUUGAGGACAUGGUGUUGAACAGGAGUGCAAUGAAGCGUGAGGACUGCCAAGAAAUGUCAGGAUCUCUGCUUUAUGUGUUAUGAAGUAUAAAUGUGACUCCCUUUCUGGUCUAAAAAAUGAGUAGAAC